CGGACGGAUAUUUGCAAUAUCCGAUCCGAAUCCGAUCCGUUGCCAUCCCUAUUCUCGUGUCGACGCGUGCCCACUACGAGCCGUGAGGAUUAGUGUGGAUAUCUUCGUCCCUGUGAGUUCUUCCUUCCCCUUCGCUUCUCCGCUCCCCUCCUAGUUCCAACGAGAUCCCCGUUUCCCUCCCCUUGUAACGUUGCUGACGCGCGCUCCUAGUUCUCUGUUCCCCUCCUAGUUCCGGCGAGAUCCCCAUUUCCCUCGUGUAUUCACAGUUAUGUGUGUGACGUGUGCAGUGCAUUUCGCUGGCUCCUCCAUGGAUUCUUUUGGCCGUGGACUCCGACCCCGACGCCUACAUUGGUGAAUCUGUUGGCAUGGAAUCUGGUGGCACGACUGCAGCUUUCAUGGAUUCUUCUUUUGGCACCGAGACUCUCAUGUUGACUGCCAUGGACUCUCAUGUGGGGCGAAAUGAUGCGAGUAAGGACAAUGAGAUGGUACAAGCAACAUCUAGGUUAGAUUGGGAUUCUAUGGUUCUCCGUGAUGUUUGGGAGGAGGAAUGGGGACAUGAUGUUUGAGAUGCAGAUGUAUUCUCAACUUGGACUUGCUGAAGAGGACAAUGCUGAGGAAAGUAGAAGAGAGGAAGCCUUUAGAGGUGUUACAAGGGAUUUUGAACAAUCUGAGCAUGUUAUGUUUUUGGAAGAGAGCCUUAUAGACCAAGCAUGCGAAGACUACCUACCAGAUGAGAAGAGUGUUAUGUAUGAUAAAACAAAUCCAUCAAUGCAACCUGGUAUUUUGUUUCCUAA